rnacentral:rRNA from 1 species
CACGUAGGGGGCAAGCGUUGUCCGGAUUUAUUGGGCGUAAAGAGCUCGUAGGCGGUUUGUCACGUCGGGAGUGAAAACCCAGGGCUCAACCCUGGGCCUGCUUCCGAUACGGGCAGACUAGAGGUAUGCAGGGGAGAACGUAAUUCCUGGUGUAGCGGUGAAAUGCGCAGAUAUCAGGAGGAACACCGGUGGCGAAGGCGGUUCUCUGGGCAUUACCUGACGCUGAGGAGCGAAAGUGUGGGGAGCGAACAGG